GUGGCUCAAAGGAGUAGAGUGCCAGCCCCAUAUGCUGGAGGUGCAGGUUCAAACCCAGCC
rnacentral:tRNA from 1 species